GUAGUGUACUACAUAGGGAAUAGGGCUCUGGUCUAAAGUAGUGUACUAUAUAGGGAAUGGGGCUCUGGUCUAAAGUAGUGCACUAUAUAGGGAAUGGGGCUCUGGUCUAAAGCAGUGCACUAUAUAGGGAAUGGGGCUCUGGUCUAAAGUAGUGUACUACAUAGGGAAUAGGGUGCCAUUUGUGUCGGUGUGUUAAAGUAGACAGUCUGACCUUUUUUGAAACAACUCAACAUUUAAUAACGAAGGUAAUAUUUUCACUUAGAUUUCCUUCCUUGAUAUGAGAAGUCAUAUCUCUGGUCUAAAGUAGUGUACUACGUAGGGAAUAGGGUGCCACUUAACCCAACCAAACUGAACUAAAUGUAUUUUACUCUUUUUAGUGAGUCAUAUUUCUUUAUUUUUUAAAUACACGUUUCAUCCUCCUUUCAGUUAUAAAAUUUGCUCUGAAUUUAUCCACAAGGUUGCUUUUGUCAAUUUUCAAAGCAAAACUGUAAUUUAAUCUUUCCUGGCCUCAUUGAAUAGCUGAAUUUAAACUUAAUAACCCGAGAAAUAGCUUCCCAUUAACUAAUGAUUUACAGCCGGUGUUUGAUGCAGAAUAAAUAAAUAAGAUGAAAGAAAUAAUAACAGUAUUAUAAAAGUCCAAAAUGACACCCUAUUCUCUGUAGUGACACCACUACUUUUUGACCAGGGCUCAAUAGGGCUCUGGUUAAAAGUAGUGCACUAAAUAGAAAAUAGGGUGUCAUUUUGGACACAAACAUUUUAUAUAAAGGCUUCCCUUUUUUCUUUUUCCUGUUUUCUUGUUAAGAGAGACUAGUGUCCCAAAAUACCGUCACUUCUCCCAGUAGUUUAAUUACUGGCUUAAAGGAAUACCUCGGGAUGUUGGCCAUUUUUAUGCCUCUGCACCUUGUAGAGUCCGUUUUUAAUUGCGGCUGUUCUGAGGGCAAAAUUAUGUAUGGAAUUAGGUUCCAUUUGGAGCACAACCCUGGUACUGCUCUGGACUCAUUUUCAGUACAACCCUGGUACUGCUCUGGACUCAUUUUCAGUACAACCCUGGUACUGCUCUGGACUCAUUUUCAGUAUACCCUGUUCACCACAUGGUCAAUCUGCUGCAUGUUAUUCAGUUAUACCCUGUUCACCACAUGGUCAAUCUGCUGCAUGUUAUUCAGUUAUACCCUGUUCACCACAUGGUCAAUCUGCUGCAUGUUAUUCAGUUAUACCCUGUUCACCACAUGGUCAAUCUGCUGCAUGUUAUACCCUGUUCACCACAUGGUCAAUCUGCUGCAUGUUAUUCAGUUAUACCCUGUUCACCACAUGGUCAAUCUGCUGCAUGUUAUUCAGUUAUACCCUGUUCACCACAUGGUCAAUCUGCUGCAUGUUAUUCAGUUAUACCCUGUUCACCACAUGGUCAAUCUGCUGCAUGUUAUUCAGUUAUACCCUGUUCACCACAUGGUCAAUCUGCUGCAUGUCAUUCAGUUAUACCCUGUUUACCACAUGGUCAAUCUGCUGCAUGUUAUUCAGGUAUACCCUGUUCACCACGUGGUCAAUCUGCUGCAUGUUAUUCAGUUAUACCCUGUUCACCACAUGGUCAAUCUGCUGCAUGUUAUUCAGUUAUACCCUGUUCACCACAUGGUCAAUCUGCUGCAUGUUAUUCAGUUAUACCCUGUUCACCACAUGGUCAAUCUGCUGCAUGUUAUACCCUGUUCACCACAUGGUCAAUCUGCUGCAUGUUAUUCAGUUAUACCCUGUUCACCACAUGGUCAAUCUGCUGCAUGUUAUUCAGUUAUACCCUGUUCACCACAUGGUCAAUCUGCUGCAUGUUAUUCAGUUAUACCCUGUUCACCACAUGGUCAAUCUGCUGCAUGUCAUUCAGUUAUACCCUGUUUACCACAUGGUCAAUCUGCUGCAUGUUAUUCAGUUAUACCCUGUUCAC